GGAGAGGUGUCCGAGCGGUUUAAGGAGCUGGUCUUGAAAACCAGUGACACGUAAGUGCCAAGGGUUCGAAUCCCUUCCUCUCCG
rnacentral:tRNA from 1 species